GACGAACGCUGGCGGCGUGCUUAACACAUGCAAGUCGAACGGAAAGGCCCGGUUUGCCGGGUACUCUGGUGGCACUCGGGUGGGUAACAGGUGGGUGAUACGUCCUGCAUUUCGGGCCAACCCUGGUAUAAUCCGUGUAAUCUCGGACUGGUGCCCUAUUUAGCGUGAUGGUUGGAACGUUUUUUGGGUGUGGGAUGUGAUUGCGGCCGAUCGGGUUGUUGGUGGGGCAGUGGCGUACUGAGGCGGGGACGGGUCGACGGCCCGAGAGGGUGGCCGGCCGCAAUGGGACUGAGACACGGCCCAGGCUGCUGCGGGGGGCAGCAGUGGGGAAGAGGGCACAAUGGGCGGAAGCCUGAUGCAGCGGCGCCGGGUGGGGGAUGACUGACUUCGGGUUGUAAGCGCCGUUCGCUAGGGACGAAGCUUUUUGUGACGGUACCGAGAGAAGAAGCACCGGCUAACUACGUG
rnacentral:rRNA from 1 species